rnacentral:rRNA from 1 species
AUUGAACGCUGGCGGCAUGCUUUACACAUGCAAGUCGAACGGUAACAGGUCUUCGGAUGCUGACGAGUGGCGAACGGGUGAGUAAUGCAUCGGAACGUGCCCAGUCGUGGGGGAUAACGCAGCGAAAGCUGUGCUAAUACCGCAUACGAUCUAUGGAUGAAAGCGGGGGGACCGUAAGGCCUCGCGCGAUUGGAGCGGCCGAUGUCAGAUUAGCUAGUUGGUGGGGUAAAGGCCCACCAAGGCGACGAUCUGUAGCUGGUCUGAGAGGACGACCAGCCACACUGGGACUGAGACACGGCCCAGACUCCUACGGGAGGCAGCAGUGGGGAAUUUCGGACAAUGGGCGAAAGCCUGAUCCAGCCAUGCCGCGUGAGUGAAGAAGGCCUCGGUUGUAAGCUCUUUCGGUCUGGGAAGAAUACGCACAGGCGUAA